AACGAACGCUGGCGGCAGGCUUAAUACAUGCAAGUCGAACGCCCCCUUCGGGGGGAGUGGCAGACGGGUGAGUAACGCGUGGGAACGUGCCCCAAGGUAGGGAACAACUCCGGGAAACUGGAGCUAAUACCCUAUGUGUCCGAGAGGAGAAAGAUUUAUCGCCUUGGGAUCGGCCCGCGUCAGAUUAGCUAGUUGGUGGGGUAAAAGCCUACCAAGGCUACGAUCUGUAGCUGUUCUGAGAGGAAGAUCAGCCACACUGGGACUGAGAGACGGCCCAGACUCCUACGGGAGGCAGCAGUAGGGAAUCUUGGACAAUGGGCUCAAGCCUGAUCCAGCCAUGCCGCGUGAGUGAUGAAGGCCCUAGGGUUGUAAAACUCUUUCGCCGAGGACGAUAAUGACGGUACUCGGAGAAGAAGCUCCGGCUAACUUCGUGCCAGCCGCCGCAGUAACAC
rnacentral:rRNA from 1 species